GCAUAUCAAUAAGCGGAGGAAAAGAAACCAACAGGGAUUGCCCCAGUAACGGCGAGUGAAGCGGCAACAGCUCAAAUUUGAAAUCUGGCCCCCAGGGCCCGAGUUGUAAUUUGGAGAGGAUGCUUUUGGCGAGGCGCCGCCCGAGUUCCCUGGAACGGGACGCCGCAGAGGGUGAGAGCCCCGUCUGGCUGGCCGCCGAGCCUCUGUAAAGCUCCUUCGACGAGUCGAGUAGUUUGGGAAUGCUGCUCAAAAUGGGAGGUAUAUGUCUUCUAAAGCUAAAUACCGGCCAGAGACCGAUAGCGCACAAGUAGAGUGAUCGAAAGAUGAAAAGCACUUUGAAAAGAGGGUUAAACAGUACGUGAAAUUGUUGAAAGGGAAGCGCUCGUGACCAGACUUGGGCCUGGCGGAUCAUCCGGCGUUCUCGCCGGUGCACUUCGCCCGGCCCAGGCCAGCAUCAGUUCGCCCCGGGGGACAAAGGCGGCGGGAAUGUGGCUCCCCCGGGAGUGUUAUAGCCCGCCGCGCAAUGCCCUGGGGCGGACUGAGGUUCGCGCGUCCGCAAGGAUGCUGGCGUAAUGGUCACCAGCGACCCGUCUUGAAACACGGACCAAGGAGUCGUCCUCGUAUGCGAGUGUUCGGGUGUCAAACCCCUACGCGUAAUGAAAGUGAACGCAGGUGAGAGCUUCGGCGCAUCAUCGACCGAUCCUGAUGUUCUCGGAUGGAUUUGAGUAAGAGCAUACGGGGCCGGACCCGAAAGAAGGUGAACUAUGCCUGUAUAGGGUGAAGCCAGAGGAAACUCUGGUGGAGGCUCGCAGCGGUUCUGACGUGCAAAUCGAUCGUCAAAUAUGGGCAUGGGGGCGAAAGACUAAUCGAACCUUCUAGUAGCUGGUUUCCGCCGA
rnacentral:rRNA from 1 species